rnacentral:lncRNA from 1 species
GGCAGAUGGAGAAAUGGUUGGAAGCCAUGGGACGAAUGCCUAGAGUUUUGAAGGAAUGUAGACAAGGUCUCCAGAUUUGCCACCCAUGCUGAGUGCCGUGGUGUGAUCAUGGCUUAUUUCAACCUCAACCUCCCCCACUCAAGCGAUCCUCCUGCCUCAGCCUCUGGAGUAGCUGGGACUACAGGCACGCACCACCACACCCAGCCAUAAUUUGCCUCUUGCUGUAACUAAAAGGUCACAAAAACAAAGAAUUCUAAAAAAUCUUCUUCU